GCUCCAUCUCCUCCUCUCGCAGGUCUACACCGCCAUCCACUGGUGCUAUUAAGGAACUGGCAGCACUGGACCCUGGGUCAAAUGAAGAGAGUGUACAGAUUCUGACUCAGGGUGGGAUGUUUUUGGAGACAGGAAGUUGCAGAUAGCCAGGUCCAGCAUGGCAACUCUACAGGAUGUUGACAGCAUGGGCACAGCACAGAGCAGACAGGACUCCUACUACUGCUGCUGAUAGAAGUGAUUUGCUCCCAUCUACCUGUGGUCCAGGCCAGUCCCACUGACCUUUUAGGCAACCGUCAAGCCAGGAAAAAGAUGGAGA